UCAAGCUAUAAAGAGCGCAGGGGGAAUGCCUUGGCACCAGGAGCCGAAGAAGGACGCGACAAACUGCGAAAAGCUGCGGAGAGCCGUAAGUGGGCAUUGAUCCGCAGGUGUCCGAAUGGAGCAAUCCGGCUGGAGUAAAGUCCAGUCACGGCGUGCUGAAUAAAUAGGUGCGCCGGGGGAACCGCCCGAACUGAAACAUCUAAGUAGGGCGAGGAAAAGAAAUCAAUUGAGAUUCCGCAAGUAGUGGCGAGCGAACGCGGAAGAGGCCAAACCGGGAGCAGCAAUGUUCCCGGGGUAUGGACAGCCAAAAGAUGUGCGAAGCUAACCGAAGGAUAUGGAAAGAUCCGCGGGAGAGCGUGAAAGCCGCGUAGGUGAAAGCGGAGCACAGAGGGCUGUAUCCAGAGUACCGCAGGACACGAGAAAUCCGGUGGGAAUAUGGGGGGACCACCCUCCAAGCCUAAACACUACCUGGUGACCGAUAGAGGAAAGUACUGUGAAGGAAAGGUGAAAAGCACCCCGGAAGGGGAGUGAAAUAGAACCUGAAACCCUGUGCUUACAAGCACCGAAAGCCCGUCAAAGGGUGAUCGGGUACCUUUUGUAGAAUGGUCCGGCGAGUGAAUGUAGCUGGCAAGGUUAAGGGCUUAAGGCCUGGAGCCGAAGGGAAACCGAGUCUGAAUAGGGCGAUUUAGUCAGUUGUAUUCGACCCGAAACCGGGUGACCUAUCCAUGUCCAGGUUGAAGUGGGGGUAAAACCCCAUGGAGGACCGAACCGACUCCCGUUGAAAUGGUAGCGGAUGAGGUGUGGGUAGCGGAGAAAUUCCAAUCGAACCCGGAGAUAGCUGGUUCUCUCCGAAAUAGCUUUAGGGCUAGCCUUGUAUUAGAUUACCGGAGGUAAAGCACUGAAUGGUUAAGGGGCCGAGAGGCUACUAAGACCUAUCAAACUCAGAAUGCCGGAUAAUUGAUGUACAGGAGUCAGACGGCGUGAGAUAAGUUUCGUCGUCAAAAGGGAAACAGCCCAGACCCACAGCUAAGGUCCCCAAACACGGUUAAGUGGAAAAGGAUGUGGGGUUGCACAGACAACCAGGAUGUUGGCUCAGAAGCAGCCAUACAUUAAAAGAGUGCGUAAUAGCUCACUGGUCGAGUGACCCUGCGCCGAAAAUUCAACGGGGCUAAAACCAUAUACCGAAGCUUGGGAUGUUCAAUCGUUCUUCAUAUUUUCAAAGUUAAGCAAAAGGCAAGUAAUGAAGAUAUGAAGAACGGUUGAGUAUGGUAGGAGAGCGUUCUGUGCUGGCAGAAAUCGGAGCGGAAGCGCCGGUGGACGGCACAGAAGAGAGAAUGCCGGAAUGAGUAGCGCGAAAUAUGUGAGAAUCAUAUUGGCCGGAAGUCUAAGGUUUUUGGAGGAAGGUUCGUCCGCUCCAAGUAAGUCGGGAGCUAAGGUGAGGCCGAAAGGCGUAAUCGAUGCACACACGGUGGAUAUUCCGUGACCGCAGAAAGAUUUAAACUUGAUGACACCUGAGAAGUUCAUAACCCGGGCGAUGGUAGACCCGGGCGUAAGGGACCGAAAUUAUAGUAGGGAAGUAUGAAUGGAACAGGGCGAGAAAAGUCAAGUGAAUAUCUGAUGCGCCCGUACCGCAAACCGACACAGGUAGACGGGAAGAGGAUUCCAAGGCCAACGGGAGAAGGGUAGUUAAGGAACUCGGCAAAUUGACCCCGUAACUUAGGGAAAAGGGGUGCCACAGCGAUGUGGCCGCAGAGAAUAGGCCCAGGCGACUGUUUAGCAAAAACACAGGUUUCUGCCAAAUCGAAAGAUGACGUAUAGGAGCUGACACCUGCCCGGUGCUGGAAGGUUAAGAGGAGAUGUGCAAGCAUUGAAUUGAAGCCCCAGUAAACGGCGGCCGUAACUAUAACGGUCCUAAGGUAGCGAAAUUCCUUGUCGGGUAAGUUCCGACCCGCACGAAAGGUGUAACGAUCUGGGCGCUGUCUCAAUUACCCACCCGGCGAAAUUGUAGUACCGGUGAAGAUGCCGGUUACCCGCGACAA
rnacentral:rRNA from 1 species